rnacentral:lncRNA from 1 species
GAAUCCUAAAGGGGUACUAGGCUAAAAUUCAAAGAGACAAAAGAUACUUGAAAGAAACUGCGGGAAUUGAAUUUACAAAAGAUUUCAUUCACUUCAACAACUCUAUAGCAACUGUUUUCUCUUCUCCUUUCUCUUUUCUUCUUUUUUUAUUUUUAUUUUUCAGAAGGAGUAUGUAUUGGCAUGUAUUGACAUCCUUCUAUGUUUUUCAUUCGUUUUUUUUCUUUUUUCUUUUCUAUUUUUCUUUUCUUUUUCUGCCAACUUC